GGAAGAGCCACAGCUCUGGAGAGCACUCUUUUCUUCUGGUCCAUUAUUUUCCCUGAAGAGACCCCUGACGCCUAAAGAGAUGGGGUCUCACUAUAUUCCCCAGGAUGGUCUCCAACUCCUGGACUCAAGCAAUCUUCCCACCUCAGACUACAGGCAUGAGCCACCAUGCCCAGCCAUAUUGUUCAUUUUUAACCCUGUCUCAGUGUGGCCUGCUCCCAGAACUGUUUCUCCUGACUUCUCAUUUCACCAAGAAGACAUGGACUCAGAAAAAUGAAGAGAGAAACACAAAGACACAGGAGCAGCAACCAAGCCCCUCUUCUCCAGGCAAUCAUCUGACUUCAAUUGGCAUAGACCCCUUAGGGGUGUGGACACUGUCUGAAAGUAUCUGGAGAGACCAAGUUUCAGCAGCCACUAAGCUGUCAAGGCUCUUUAAAAAUCUGAUUCCUGGCCAGGCACGGGGGCGCACGCCUGUCACCCCAGUACUUUGGGAGGCUGUGGUGGGCAGAUCACUUGAGGCCAGGAGUUCUAGAUCAGCCUGGCCAACAUGACGAAACCCCAUCUCUACUAAAAAUAUGAAAAUUAGCUGGGUGUGGUAGUGCACACCUGUAAUCCCAGCUACUCGGGAGGCUGAAGCAGGAGAAUCGCUUGAACCCAGAAGGCGGAGGUUGCAGUGAGCCGAUAUCGCACCAUUGCACUCCAGCCUGGGCAACAGAGUGAGAUUCUG
rnacentral:lncRNA from 1 species